AAAUAUCACUGAGGACCGAAGCAGCAAUCCUUUUCAAAGCAAUUUCUGGCUCCUGGAUACAGAGUAUUAGAAGAGGAACUGCUCCUGCAUCCACCACAGCUUGUGACAGUUCUGUGGAUCCAGGAAAAGUAAUUGCAUACAUCAUUUACAUGGAAAACUUCUAUUAAGAACCUUCUUAAAAAAAAAAAAAACUUCUAUGUGGGAUACCAAAAUACACACUCUGCUGUCAAAAGAUGAAGGUAAGAGUCCAGAAAGAAGCAAGUCUAAUAUUAUUUGAUAAUAGAAGGAAUACCUACAAGAAAAAAUAAAAUUUCUGUCAUUCCUUGUAAAGAUAAAACAGUCAUUAGUAAACGACUCUUCAAUUUAUAAAAACGAGGCAAAUUUUUCAACAAAAGAAUCUGUUUACUUUUAAAAAUGCUGGCAAAAUACACAUAAAAUUUACAAUUUCAACCGUUUUAAAGUAUACAAUUCAGUGGCAUUUAGUGCAUUCACAA